rnacentral:rRNA from 1 species
CGUACACGGUGGAUGCCCUGGCAGUCAGAGGCGAUGAAGGACGUGCUAAUCUGCGAUAAGCGCCGGUAAGGUGAUAUGAACCGUUAUAACCGGCGAUUUCCGAAUGGGGAAACCCAGUGUGACUCGUCACACUAUCAUUAACUGAAUCCAUAGGUUAAUGAGGCGAACCGGGGGAACUGAAACAUCUAAGUACCCCGAGGAAAAGAAAUCAACCGAGAUUCCCCCAGUAGCGGCGAGCGAACGGGGAGGAGCCCAGAGCCUGAAUCAGCAUGUGUGUUAGUGGAAGCGUCUGGAAAGGCGCGCGAUACAGGGUGACAGCCCCGUACACAAAAGCGCAUGUGCUGUGAGCUCGAUGAGUAGGGCGGGACACGUGGUAUCCUGUCUGAAUAUGGGGGGACCAUCCUCCAAGGCUAAAUACUCCUGACUGACCGAUAGUGAACCAGUACCGUGAGGGAAAGGCGAAAAGAACCCCGGCGAGGGGAGUGAAAAAGAACCUGAAACCGUGUACGUACAAGCAGUGGGAGCACCCUUCGGGGUGUGACUGCGUACCUUUUGUAUAAUGGGUCAGCGACUUAUAUUCUGUAGCAAGGUUAACCGUAUAGGGGAGCCGUAGGGAAACCGAGUCUUAACCGGGCGUUAAGUUGCAGGGUAUAGACCCGAAACCCGGUGAUCUAGCCAUGGGCAGGUUGAAGGUUGGGUAACACUAACUGGAGGACCGAACCGACUAAUGUUGAAAAAUUAGCGGAUGACCUGUGGCUGGGGGUGAAAGGCCAAUCAAACCGGGAGAUAGCUGGUUCUCCCCGAAAGCUAUUUAGGUAGCGCCUCGUGAAUUCAUCUCCGGGGGUAGAGCACUGUUUCGGCUAGGGGGCCAUCCCGGCUUACCAACCCGAUGCAAACUGCGAAUACCGGAGAAUGUUAUCACGGGAGACACACGGCGGGUGCUAACGUCCGUCGUGAAGAGGGAAACAACCCAGACCGCCAGCUAAGGUCCCAAAGUCAUAGUUAAGUGGGAAACGAUGUGGGAAGGCCCAGACAGCCAGGAUGUUGGCUUAGAAGCAGCCAUCAUUUAAAGAAAGCGUAAUAGCUCACUGGUCGAGUCGGCCUGCGCGGAAGAUGUAACGGGGCUAAACUAUGCACCGAAGCUGCGGCAGCGACACUAUGUGUUGUUGGGUAGGGGAGCGUUCUGUAAGCCUGUGAAGGUGUGUCGUGAGGCAUGCUGGAGGUAUCAGAAGUGCGAAUGCUGACAUAAGUAACGAUAAAGCGGGUGAAAAGCCCGCUCGCCGGAAGACCAAGGGUUCCUGUCCAACGUUAAUCGGGGCAGGGUGAGUCGACCCCUAAGGCGAGGCCGAAAGGCGUAGUCGAUGGGAAACGGGUUAAUAUUCCCGUACUUGGUGUUACUGCGAAGGGGGGACGGAGAAGGCUAUGUUGGCCGGGCGACGGUUGUCCCGGUU